AACGAACGUUGGCGGCGCGCCUAACACAUGCAAGUCGCACGAGAAAGGGAGCAAUCACCGGUACAGUGGCGCACGGGUGAGUAACACGUGGGUAAUCUUACCUCGAGCGGGGGAUAACCUUCCGAAAGGAGGGCUACUACCGCAUAAGACCACGAGCUCCACGGAGCUUGGCGACAAAGCUGGCCUCUGCCUGCACGUUAGCACUUGAGGAUGAGCACGCGGCCCAUCAGCUAGUUGGUGGUGUAAAAGACCACCAAGGCGAAGACGGGUAGCUGGUCUGAGAGGAUGAUCAGCCACACUGGAACUGAGACACGGUCCAGACUCCUACGGGAGGCAGCAGUGGGGAAUCUUGCGCAAUGGGCGAAAGCCUGACGCAGCGACGCCGCGUGGGUGAUGAAGGCCUUCGGGUUGUAAAGCCCUGUGGAGAGGGAAGAAUAAGUGCUGGCUAAUUUCCAGCAUGAUGACGGUACCUCUUUAGCAAGCACCGGCUAACUCUGUGCCAGCAGCCGCCGUAACAC
rnacentral:rRNA from 1 species